GGCACCAUAGUUGAGUAACAACAUUAAAUUGCAGAUUUAAAAGAGUACAUAAGAUACUAGUGCCU
rnacentral:tRNA from 2 species